AUAGUGAAAGGGCAAACCCUGGCAAACCAGGGGGUGCGAAGCUGCAGGUCUAAGACCGAUGAAGUUAUGAUGGCUGCGCUGCCACC
rnacentral:ncRNA from 1 species